rnacentral:lncRNA from 1 species
AUGAGAGGCCUGUCCUGGUGGUAGGGCUAGGAGCACGGUUCAAAGGGUGCUGCUGGAGCUGUCCAAGGGGUGGCCAUUCUUCGGGGAAUGAGCUGAAACCACCCGGCCCUGCCUUGGGUGCAGCCUGCUCUGUAUCCCAGGUGUGCUGAGCGUAGAGCGAGAAGGAUCCUUGAGUCACCCCUGCCUGCUCCCAAGCAGCAGUCUUCGGGUGAGUGUGGUGCCUUUGCCGAGAGGGAGGGACCCAUCAGAGCCUGGAAUCCUCAAGGUGCCCUCUCCAGGCCUCCCCUCCUCCCUAAUGCCUCCUUCCUGGCCACCCCCAUGCCUCUCAAACCCCCUCCAGAAAGACCACUGGCCGGGAGGCUCCUUUGCCCCGUGGGGCUUCCGCUAGGAAAGGGCCCUGAGUUGCAGCCCUGGAUCCCCAUGGAACCAAAGGGCCCUGGGGGCUGGAGCUGGGCUCCUUUGCACCGAGGUGGCUGGAACCACAUUCCAGAGCCUGUCGGUAAUGGACGUGCCAUAUUUCUCAUCUCUGUUAGUUUCCCUGGCCCCAGCUUUUCAACAAGAAGAGGGUAGCAGGGAGCAUUCAAAGCACUUGAGCUGUGGGGGCCAGGCCACCUGGAUUCAAAUCCCAGGUUUGCUACUUAAUGCCUGUGCGCCCUUGAGCAAGUCACUUAACUUCUCUGAGCCUCAGUUUCUGACUCUGUAAAAAGGGAUAACAGUGCCUGCCUCUUGGCGCUGAUGUCAAAAUGAAAUGAAACGGUGAAAGUACCCAGCACAUGGCAGACACCCAGCAUGCAGUGGUAAUUCUUCUGCCAGGUUCAGAGAGGGGCAGUGGCUUGUCUAAGGUCACACAGAGGGUAGGCAGAGGAGCUGGUACCCAACCCUUUGGCCUUCCUGAGCUGGGCCCUGAACGGGCUGAGAUGGGAGGGAUGCUCAUAGCCUUCAAGAAGUCAGGGUUGGGGCUGGGGACCACAGAGCACCCAGCAGAGGCCUGGUCAGCAUUGUGCGUCCUUCAGCUGUUUCCCAGCCUGGGAUGGGACAGGACAUGGCCACUAUCCACCCAAGACUGCAGGUGGGUGCCAGACCAAGUGUCCAUCCCCCCCGUCCCCUCACCUCAUCAGCCACCUCGGUACUACGGUACUACAUGCCCCCCCACCACUCUACCCAGUUCUCUACCCAGAAUGGUUUUGCUCAGUCUGCAAGGAGCCACGUCCCCCAGGGGACCCAGCCCAGGCCAGCCUGAGGCACAUAUCCCAGGACCUGCCAGAAGAGCUGUGUGGCCUCAGAAAAGCCUCUUUCCUGCUCUCUGUGUUUGUGAUUAUUCUUUGUUGUUGUUGUUUUGUUUCUGAGACAGAGUCUUGCUCUGUCACCCAGGCUGGAGUGCAGUGGCACGAAUCUCGGCUCACUGCAACCUCCGCCUCCCAGGUUCAAGCAGUUCUCCUGCCUCAGCCUCCUCAGUAGCUAGGAUUACAGGCACCCACCACCAUGCCCAGCUAAUUUUUGUAUUUUUAGUAGAGACAGGGUUUCGCCAUCUUGGCCAGGCUGGUCUUGAACUCCUGACCUUAGGUGAUCUGCCCACCUUAGCCUCCGAACGUAUUGGGAUUACAGGCGUGAGCCACCACGCCUGGCCUCUGUGUGUUCGUGAUUCUAAGCACAGGUUGAGA